rnacentral:rRNA from 1 species
GAACGCCCGGGCUUCGGCCUGGUUAUUCAUAACCCUUUGUUGUCCGACUCUGUUGCCUCCGGGGCGACCCUGCCUUCGGGCGGGGGCUCCGGGUGGACACUUCAAACUCUUGCGUAACUUUGCAGUCUGAGUAAACUUAAUUAAUAAAUUAAAACUUUUAACAACGGAUCUCUUGGUUCUGGCAUCGAUGAAGAACGCAGCGAAAUGCGAUAAGUAAUGUGAAUUGCAGAAUUCAGUGAAUCAUCGAAUCUUUGAACGCACAUUGCGCCCCCUGGUAUUCCGGGGGGCAUGCCUGUUCGAGCGUCAUUUCACCACUCAAGCCUCGCUUGGUAUUGGGCAACGCGGUCCGCCGCGUGCCUCAAAUCGUCCGGCUGGGUCUUCUGUCCCCUAAGCGUUGUGGAAACUAUUCGCUAAAGGGUGUUCGGGAGGCUACGCCGUAAAACAACCCCAUUUCUAAGGUUGACCUCGGAUCAGGUAGGGAUACCCGCUGAACUUAAGCAUAUCAAUA